CUUUUCGCUUGCCUCGCCUCGCCUCGCGUCUUCUGGUCACGCACUUGUCGCCCAUCGCCACGGACUCACUCCGCCUCCCCCAGCGUCGCCACCCAACAGCAACCCUGGAAUCUCACUCUUGGUUUUAUCUCCACGGCGGCCUGCGACCACCACUGCGGUUGUCAGCCUAGCAAUCCUGUUCGUAUUAUUGUCCCUCCUCUCUCCCUUAUUGCCACCGGCUAUUGCCUGUAUUUCGACCCAAGCAGCAUAUUAUGACUAUGAUUACUCCUGUGACUGUAUUCCUUCCCCACACAGUAUUAUUAUUGUCUUUCCGCUGCCCUGGAUCUUCCGAGGGCUUCAUAAUUUUUGUGCAACUUUGACAGUUGCCACAAUACCCACGUUAACGCGCACGUCCCCUUCAACCUGAGUUCCCUCACCUCUCCCCGAUCCCGGGCAUCCACGGGUUUCUUUGCGCUGUUCUUAUCUGGUUUCCAGCGGGAUUCUCCGCCUCACCUUUUGUUCCGCCGAUUUUGAUCCCUCUCCUCUCAUUCAUUCUUAGCCAAUCAUCUGUCUUCCUCUUUCACUCAUCCGCUGUGGUGUAUGUACCUGGCCGUUUCCGCCGCCUACUACUGAGUCACCUGCACACGCACGUGACCACAAGCUUUCCCCCGUCAACUUUCUUGGCAAUAUAAAAUCGCGUAUUUCUCCAACCUCUCCUUUUCUGUUUCCUUUUUCCUGCUUUCCCUCCCUUUGGCACUUCUGUACCUCCAACCACCCCCUAUUUAAGGACAUCUUCAUCCUCAACCACGUCAUCAACAGCAACUUUGAUCAUCUACAAUCACAACAGAAAAGACAAUAUACUUGCGGGAAAAGCUAUUUUUUCGCAACCCGUUUCCUUUCUAUUAACCAGUAUCUCGUGAUAUUACUUUAUUUUCUUUUUUGCUGCUCUCCGCUGCUUUCAUACAUACGUAUUUCCUAUACAUGGCUCUGACCAGAACUUCGUCUCGUCUAGUCUAAUCUAGGAUCCUGGGCUAGUCCAAAGAAGCAAGGAGGCGUCCACCAAUAUCUGAAUGAAAUUGUGGGCUGCCCUGGACUUCCCUCCCGGCAAAGUUUAUCAGGGUCGCGCAUUCUCCAACUUGGUCUGCUCUGUUUGCUACGCGGCGCGUUAAAAAGUCCUCCUGUCUGUCCUCCGCAUCCAAGGCAGCCCGACUCACUUUGUCUUUUUCUCUCGUUUCCGUUGCGCUGCUUGAAAUAGCCAGGCUUAGAGGGCAACACGCGUGUUCACCCCCUAAGUCGCAUAUCACGUGAUCACCACUGAUGACUAUGGCAACACCUCCCCCAGACACUGUUGUCCCGGAGAGAAAGACCCAACCACCGCCCGUUGUUGACCACGUUUCUCUUGAUGCAGAAUUAUUUCAUAGCAAUCCGGUUCUAGAAACGAAAACUGUUACUGUGAGGCUUUCUGAAACCAUGUCUUCUGAGCCACAGGUAAUCGAAGAGCCUACUGCUACAGAUGAAAACAAGCCGCUGCCACCUGCAGUCAAUGGCAAUGGGAUCACCCAACCCCAGCCACUCUCAAACGGGGUGAUUGGCACCACUAAGACUGAUACUGAAGAUUCUUCUUCUCUACUUUCUCCGCUUGAGGUAUCUCUCCCCAACUCCUCUAGUCAAGAUACAGCUACAACUACAUCAACGGAAGGUCUGGUGUCCACGAAGCCUGUAUCGCAGACCUCACCAGGCUUACAUGCAGAUUCGUCAUCCACCCAGCCGGACAAGGAGGCGGCUGUUUUGAAAGCAGAAACGACCGCUGUUAUUACGAAUGAAGCCACGAACGUUGAUGUACUUGCUCAAGUUUCUUCAGAGCCCUCCGAUUUGCAACCGUCCCCUUCCACCAACCCCAGAUCACAGGAUUUUCAAGGAGAAUCAAAACCUUCCUCCGUGGACACAACGACAGAAACUCCUGGCCUAGCAAGCGAAUCUCUCCCACCGACGAGUGCACGUCAGCAGUUGCCACAAAUUCCUCAAACGGAAGAAGCAUCCGCGUCCUUUGAUAUUCCUGCACCUGCCUCUGUUCCUGAAACAGGAGCAAUCCCCUGCCAAACGCACCCUGUCAAAGCUGAACUGUCAUCACACUCAUCACUCUCUACCCCGGCAGCAACUAGACCCAUUGGACCGCAAUCAUCAAA
rnacentral:sRNA from 2 species